rnacentral:rRNA from 1 species
AACGAACGCUGGCGGCAUGCCUAACACAUGCAAGUCGAACGAGACCUUCGGGUCUAGUGGCGCACGGGUGCGUAACGCGUGGGAACCUGCCCUUAGGUUCGGAAUAACUCCCCGAAAGGGGGGCUAAUACCGGAUAAUGUCUUCGGACCAAAGAUUUAUCGCCUUUGGAUGGGCCCGCGUUGGAUUAGCUAGUUGGUAGGGUAAAAGCCUACCAAGGCGACGAUCCAUAGCUGGUCUGAGAGGAUGAUCAGCCACACUGGGACUGAGACACGGCCCAGACUCCUACGGGAAGCAGCAGUGGGGAAUAUUGGACAAUGGGCGAAAGCCUGAUCCAGCAAUGCCGCGUGAGUGAUGAAGGCCUUAGGGUUGUAAAGCUCUUUUACCCGGGAUGAUAAUGACAGUACCGGGAGAAUAAGCUCCGGCUAACUCCGUG